GAGUUUGCUUGCGUCUUUAGUUCUCCUUUUGUCUUUUUCUUUUCUUUUAGACGUCGUUACGGUCGGGGUUGGAUGGAUAGAGGAGGGAGGGAGGGGGAGGCGGUGUGGUGGUGGCGGUGGCGGUCGCGCGUGGAGGAGAGGCCACCGGCGGCGUUGGCACCGUCGGCGGGUGCCGCGUACAGUCCAGAGCACGAUGAAUUUCGGUUCCAGCCGCUACAGCUGCCUCCCGGGCUCGAGGAGGACCGAAGCGCCGCUGUGCGGCAGGAGCCGCACCGGUCCCAGGAGAAGCGCCGCCGCUUGCUCGCCACGGACGCCCCGUACCUGGCCCGCCGCGAGCCCGCGCCCCCGAAGAAGCGCCCCCGGUACCGGUUGAGCACCUCCCACGAGUACGUCCCCGAGCGCAGCGAGUACAAGGAGACGCGCGCGCGGCUGCUCAUACAGGCCGUCGGCGGCUCGGGCGAACACGAGUGCGGGGUGCUGUUCGGCCGGCGAGUAGGAGUCGUCCACGUGUAAAGUUGACACCCUUCCUUGUUCUACUCCUAAAGUACCCAGUGACUGCUGGCCUUGUGCGGCAGCCACCACCUCAUGCCGCUUAGAGCCCCGUUGAUGUGGCGCAGUCGCUGCCCGCUGGUCCGCUGCAUGUUUAUGAAGAAGAUGCUCAGGCCGCGCUAGGUGGUGCACUGCUAGCCGGGCGACCGCGGGCCGUGUUGGAUGGUGAUGGCCACGCCGUUCCGGCCGCUGCUCGAGUGGGAGGCCUGGGGAGGCCGCAGGGAGGGCGAGCUCGAGCAGCAGUAGCCGCUGGAGCCCGUCUGGGCCACCUGCCGCAGCUGCGACCGCGUGUAGCCGCCGCGCCUGAUGCUGUACGACGACGAGGGCCCGCUGGACAGCAUGCGCCUGUGCGUCGUCGGCGACACCCUGAGCAAGCCCGCCGACCACGUCGGCGACCGCUCGCGCGCCGGCACCUACCACUGCCUCCCGUUGGUGCUCCGCCUCCGCGAGGGGCAGCAGCCGAAGCGCGGGAAGCAGCGGAUGUUGCGCGCCACCGCCUACGGCGUGCUCCUCUCACCGAGGCGGAGGUUGGAGAUGAUGAGCAAGCUGCGCCGGCCGCCGCGCCGCGUGCAGCACUACGACCCGAGGAUGCGGCUCAAGCUCCUCCCCAGCCGCGUCGCGCGCACCGACCUCGCCCUGGAGCGGCCGCACCUGGCCGCCUCCUGCGGCACCGACGACCACGACGACGUGCGCGGCACCAUGUUGUGGUUGGUCCGGGUGGUCCCCCUCCCGCUCCGCUACGCGCGGCGGUACCUCCGCGAGGAGAUGCUCCGGGCGCAGCUGCAGCAGAAGAGGCCGGUGCAGGUGCGGAUGCUCGCUAAGUGCUCCUAGAUGCUGUUGCUCCGGCUGCCGGCCCCGGGCUACAUGUAUUGGUAGCCGCUGCCGCCGUUGUCUCUUCCCGAACGAGAGUUCAAGGACCUCCUAGUGUUCAGCCGCGUGGACAGCCACAAGGUCCUCCGCUCGAAACCCGUGCCGGCCGACUCCUAGCACCUGCUCUGCUCGCGGCAGACCUGCACCGUGGCGUUGCUGCUGCUUAUGCGGUGGCAGGCGCUGCUCCAGACCAACCUCUCGAACCGAUCAGGUUUCGAUAGGUACCGUCGGCGGCCAGCAGUCCUGCUCCUCAACAUCCUACAACAUCUAGUCACUUGUGGGAUGACAACCCCGCCAAUCCUUUAGUUUGGGAAAUUAACCCAGUAUUCUGUUGUGAAAGUGGUCAUGCCUUACUACGAGUGUCAAGCAAGCUUUUAUGCGCGCACUAUUCAGUUCUAUUGUGUGUGCUAACUUUAAGUUCUUGGCACACACAAGUUUGCUAAUACAAGUUGUUUAACACACGCUACUACAUCUUAUAGCGUGUGCCGCGCAUUAUCACCUGGCGCA
rnacentral:rRNA from 1 species